rnacentral:lncRNA from 1 species
GACGGAUGUAAACACAACCAUAAAUCCCAUUACCCUGCUAAAUACUGGGUCUGGAUUUAAAACACACACACACACACACACACACACACACACACACACACAAAGUAAGCAAGAGGCAAGGUUUCGGCAGAGUAAAUUGUCAUGUGUGAGACUGUGAUUAAGAUGUUUGCCAGCACACUCAGCCUCAAUGACACUUCAAGUGAUUUUCCACCAGCAUUCAUCCAUCACUGAGAAAAGCAUUCCAGGAAGGAAGCACUUGAAUGGAGUUCAUGUCCGUGGCAGACUGUAGCAGAUGAUGGCUUCAUAGACUCUUGUGUCUUCCCAGGACUCUCUUGUAAAGUGAAUUUCUCUUCCUACUGAACACGAUUCAUUAUGGCAUCAACUAGGUUGGACCCAAGACUUUCAGCCCUAUGGAGAUCUCUAGACCUCUGCUCAGAAGAGGACCCCAAAGCCCCUGCCAGGGACACUGAUCCCUGUUCAAAUUCAAAUUAUCCUGGGAUAAGGCAGUUAGCACCCAUGUGUGAAGCCCAUCUGAUGAGGACCAAAGGUGAACACUUCAGCAGCCCCAGUCUGGUGCUUAGGGCCUGAAGGAUGCCUGAAGAAAGCUGAAGAUGCCAAGGUGCAGUGUCAGCAAAGGGUGGAAGCAACAGCAGUGUGGACACGCUCACAGAUUUACAGGAGUGUGAUACCAUGACCACAAUUCUUGAAAACUAUGCCACACGACAGAAGGUGGAAUGUCUGACUUGAACCUAACCUGCCAAAGCAAAAAAGAGUAUAUGUGGAACUGAAUAAAGUUAUGGUCUCUAAGAGCCACCAGGGACCCAGAGGUAGUGCGUCCUUUGAGGAGAGCUGGA